rnacentral:lncRNA from 1 species
AUUUUUUAUUUAAAUUACAUGUUUAAAAUACGAUGAAGUUUGGUUAGUUAAGUUUUAGUAGGUGUUUUAUUUAAUUUACACAUUUAAAAUACGAUGAAAAUUAAUUUAUUAAAUGUUACCAAUUUUUUAACUUUAGAAUUUUAUUUGUUACAUUUAUUAUAAUUUAUAUAUUAUUUUAUAAUUAUAUUAAAAAUAAUAUUAUUAUUUUUUAUUUAUUUUUUGUAAUUUAUAUUUAUAAGUUAUUAAGUUACAAAAGAGGUAAUAACGUCAUGUAUAAGGUAAGUUUAUCAGCAAUAUGGUGAUUAAAUAAUUAUCGAUGAAACAAACGGAGAAAGUGAAGAACCGCAUUUCGUACGUCAUUCAUUUUUUUCCAAACAGUAUAAAAAUAAACAACAGAGAUGAAAUAAUUUUCACCUGAACUAUAGUUCAACCUAAAAUCUUCUUUAAUUCAAA